CAUGAGUAGCUUUGGACCCGUGUCUGCCGGUAGAUCCCCCGACUUGUACUGCGGCCGACUACCGGCGCCGUGUCCCGUCCCUCGUGUGGCUUCGAAUCGCUGGAUUAAGAGUGCUUGCGUGCUAGUACCCGACCUACGGGAAGUGGUGCUUCGGAUAAUUUUUGCCUCGCGGCGGACGCCCAUUGGGUGUGCCGCUGCGGCCAAAUAGCGCUUGCGGCGUUGCCUCGUGGGGCUGGCACAUUACGUGCCCGUUGCUAUCAAGGCAACCUCGCUCCCGCUUUUGGUCUCGGAUGCUGCUGACGAUAAAGGGUCGUGGCCCUUUCGGUUGCCUCGACCCGACCCAAAGCUCUCGGAACUGAGAACAACCGGAACAGGAGUUGCCUCUACCUCUCCACAGUUAUGUGGUAGGAUACGCAACUCUCUGCGCCGAUCCUCAAGGAUGAUGAGCUGUGCCGCUCAAGAGCGACGACCGGCCCGGCUGUUGCCUCUGAGUUUCCACGGAAGUGGAAGCGCAGAACGAUGGCCGUGCUGGUAGUCACCAAGGACGUGCU
rnacentral:misc_RNA from 1 species